rnacentral:rRNA from 1 species
UACGAAGGGGGCUAGCGUUGCUCGGAAUCACUGGGCGUAAAGCGCACGUAGGCGGCUUUUUAAGUCAGGGGUGAAAUCCUGGAGCUCAACUCCAGAACUGCCUUUGAUACUGGAAAGCUCGAGUCCGGAAGAGGUGAGUGGAACUGCGAGUGUAGAGGUGAAAUUUGUAGAUAUUCGCAAGAACACCAGUGGCGAAGGCGGCUCACUGGUCCGGUACUGACGCUGAGGUGCGAAAGCGUGGGGAGCAAACAGG